AGCCUCUGCUAGCUUCAAACAUUUCUUUCGCAGCUUCCUCAAUUCUCAAAGCCUUCAUAGAAUUAAAGAGAGUUAGGGCCUUGCUCUAGAUUAGGCUUUGCCUUAAGUGAAUGUGUGGCUGGCUUGAUCAUCUAUACAGAGCAAUAAAACUUUUUCUAUAUCAGCAAUAAGGCUAUUUUACUUUCUUAUCAUUUAUUCACUGGAGUAGCACUUUUAAUUUCCUUAGAGAACUUUUCCUCUGGAUUUACUACUUUACUGACUGUUAGGCACAAGAGGCCUAGCUUUUAGCCUAUCUUGGCUGUGUGCCUUCCUCACUAAGUUUAAUCAUUUCUAACUUUUGAUUUGAAGUGAGAGAUGUGUGACUCUUCCUUUCACUUAAAUAUUUAGAGGCCAUUGUAGGCCUUUGGAUUGACCUAAUUUCAGUAUUGUUGUCUCAGCAUAGGAAGGCCUAAAGGGGACAGAGAGGUGGAAACAGCCUACCUGUCAGUGGAGCAGUCUGAAUAUGCACACUUAUUAAUUAAGUUUGCCAUCUUAUAUGGGCGCCAUUCGUGGCACCCCCAAACAAUUGCAACAGUAAUAUCAAAGAUCAUUGUUUGAACAUCAGUCUGACUGUGUAAACAUCCAUCUGUCAGCAUGCUCGUCUGCCAGAAUGGCUGUCUGAACAUCUAUCCAUCUGUCCCAACAUCCAUCUGUCUGAACAUCUGUCCAUUUGUCUGGAUGUCAGUCUGUUCAAAUGUCUGUCUGUCUGAUAUAUAUCCAUGUGUCUGAUCAUCUUGUGUCUGAGUGUCUGUAACACUCUAUCAGAACAUUUGUAAAUCUGCUGGGCUGUCCAUCAGUCUGUCUGUGAAACCAAGCAGGACCCUUCAGGACCCUCUCAGGUAUACAAGCCCACCACCCCAUGCCCUCUGCCUCUUUAAGGAAAAGAUUUUGUUUCAGGCUCCCUUGAAUCUCAAAAGUCUAGUUCAAGAUUUAAUGAUUAGGAAAAUGUAAACAUGUAGAAACAAAGAAUAGCUGUUUGACAAGGAAAUGUAAAAAUUUAAGCAAUGGAUCAGCCAUAUAGCAGAGUCACAGGACCUUUCAUUCCUCCUUGAAAGACAGAGAUAACAACAUCUGAGGUACAUUCCUAAGCUGUUUUUGCAGAAACCCGACUCCCACCAGGUGGAAAUUGCUGACCAUAAGCACAUAUAGAUUAUAAACUAGUUGGGACCAGAAGAUUGAUGAUUGAGAUUCUAGAAAUUUCAUGCUGUUGCCUCACCACCAAUCGUCUGAAGAAUAUCCAGUUGUUCCCACAGAUUCAUCACUUCUGGCAAGCAUGCUGAUGUAUUGUCAUGAAAACAACAACAGUGUCAAAGAUAAUAAUAGAUACGUAAGUCUAGGAGGCCUGCCAAUGCUAGCAAAGGAUUUAGGAAGCUGGAAGUUGAUCAGCUUUCCAAUGAAAACUUUCAAUUAUACCCUUGAAGAGUUUACAGAAGAGCAGAGACAAGUUUGCAGAAGACCUUGAGAGAUGCUUCCUCCAACAGAAACAACCAAAAAACUGGCAAGUUACCAGCAACAAUUAUCUCAGAACUCUCACAACAAGUUGAGAAACAUUUAUCCAAGAAAAACUACUGAGCCUUGGUAAAAACAGCAUGGUCUGUGACAUUUUACCUUGGAAUUUCAUUCUCACGUCCCCUGACUCAGCAGCAUAGUGAAGUAUUGGUAGGUUUGGUAGCCUUGCUGGUGCCGGAAGAGGCUGAUAUGAUUUGGAGCUCCAAGGAAAAGCCCCACAUCAACAGCUUUGAUGAAAACCGUAGUGGUUGGUAGUAGUCAGAUGCCUACAUGGAAGCUGCCUAAGGCUGUAAUAACAGUUGGGGCAAGCAAGGGACCAGCCAAAAGUUAAAAGUGAAGAUCCAGGAAAUAAGACAGCUCAAAUGAGGAUCUGAAAACUCUUGACAUUUUUCUGCUGAUCUGGAAGCCUGUGCAUAUAGGCAGGGCUAUAUUCAUACACAGGAAAUACCAGAGAGGCCCCCAGUUUAUUAUUCAUAUCUGACUGAUCUUUAGACCCUGUGUGAGCAGGAAAUGAAAGCCCAGGCAAACUAGUUAACUCCCUGAAUUUUGAAUACCUUCCCUAACCCACGAUCAGAUCUCUUUUGCACUGGAUGGAAGCCUAACCAACUCAAAGCUUUUGAUCACUAGCUGACUACUAAGCUAUGAUGACUCUAGGAAGCCAGAAAUGACAACAACCCAGGAGGUGGUAUCAGAACACAGAGUAACAACCACAGUACAUUAUCUAAAAUGUCCAAUUUUCAACAACAACCAAAAUAUACAAGACAAGUGGAGCUCCUGUCAUGGGUCAGCAGUUACCAAAGCCGACUAGUAUCCAUGAGGAUGAGGAUUCCAUCCCCGGCCUUGCUCAGUGGGUUAAGGAUCCUGCAUUGCCGUGAGCUAUGGUAUAGGUCACACACUUGGCUCGGGUCUGGCAUUGCUGUGGCUCUGGCAUAGGCCAGCAGCUGCAGCUCAGAUUAGACCCCUAGCCUGGGAACCUCCAUAUGCUGUGAGUGCAGCCCUAAAAAGACAAAAAGACCAAAAAAAAAAAAAAAAAAAA
rnacentral:lncRNA from 1 species